UACGAAGGGGGCUAGCGUUGCUCGGAAUGACUGGGCGUAAAGGGCGCGUAGGCGGCUUGUAUAGUCAGAUGUGAAAUUCCUGGGCUCAACCUGGGGGCUGCAUUUGAUACGUAUGGGCUUGAGUGGGGAAGAGGGUCGUGGAAUUCCCAGUGUAGAGGUGAAAUUCGUAGAUAUUGGGAAGAACACCGGUGGCGAAGGCGGCGACCUGGUCCUUGACUGACGCUGAGGCGCGAAAGCGUGGGGAGCAAACAG
rnacentral:rRNA from 1 species